UCCACAGGAAGUGACAAGACCUACCACCAGUGGCUGUUCACUGUGAAGAAAGGAGGCGGGGCUAUCUUCAACACAGUGAAGACGAGGGCCAACCCUGCCAUGAAGACCGUUUAUAAGUUUGCGAAGGACCACGCCAAAAUGCGUAUAAAGGAGGUGAAGAGCCGGCUGAAGCAGAAGGUAUGAGGCUCUCACCGCUGAAUAACAACUUCAGAUAAA